CACCUGGCAGCAACUCAGUACAUUCGGCUAUGUAGAUAUGGUCGAGCUGCUCAAGUUCAAAGUGAGCAUCAGAAUGAGGAAGAAAGAGAACUUAAAUGACUGAAUGCAGCGAGGCUGUUGGUGUCAGACGGGCUGACGUCGUUCAUAAACUCGUGAUCUACCUGGAUUUUUCCACACGAUCAUCUCUAAGAUUUACAGGACGAUUUGAAAAAAGAAAAUACUCAGCGAGUGGCAUCAGCUGAUGACUGCUUCGAGCUCAGCAACAGCUCAGCUGUUACAACUAAGGUGCAAAGAAGACAUGUGGAACCUUGAAGGAUACCAGAACAGAAGACCACACCGUUCAGGAAGCUGAGGCCGCAGGCUCACCAAAACUGAACGACAGAAGACCGGAAAAACAUUUCCUGGUCUCUCAGUUCCUGCUGUGACUCUUUCAUGGUGUGGUCAAAACACGAAACGAGGAUCCAUCCGAUCUUGUGUCAGCUGUUCAGGCUGCUGCUGGUGUAGCUGAAGGUAGCAGCUAAAACAGCUGUGCCUAAAACACCACCUAGCAUCAACACAUCAUGCGAUAAGAAGCAGCGGCAUGUAUGGAAACCACCUGCACCUGGAACACACAGAAGAUCCCACACAUGCCACGGUGACGCUCAAUUAUCCCGUACCACAGCCAAGUUAUGGGCUGUCUUGAUCUCUCAUGGCUCGGCUAAUGUGAGACAUUUUAAAAAGCGGAAAUAUAAAGUGUGACAAGUCAUGUCAGUAUUUACCGACCUGUUUACCACCUCUCUUCUUGGCUAGCUGCCUCCCUCUGCCUACGCGUGGCUUCUAUGCAUUACCAAGCUAACAACGCAUCGCUAGCAGCGCUACAACCUCACUUCACUGCACAUUUACUUUUAGCCGCGUGGGCAAUGACUUGUUUUCCCCUUGUGGCUUCCAGGAGCCCAACAAAUCCUGAUUGUUCAAUCAGUGCUAAUGGCAAACAAGGAUACUGAAAGCUUGAUUUAGCUUCUGUUUCUCCAUUGUGUAAAAAUCAUCUCUUUGUUUUGCUAUUAGCAGUUGUUCAUUUUUCAUUUGUGUCUGUAAACUUUACCCAGCUGGGUUCAGCUCGUUAUAUUUAAUUCUUAUCCUGCUCUAAGAGCUGUCGCUUGGUGCACUAAUUACUCCCGAAUGCAGACUGGUCUUCAUCUAAGUCACAUUUAGAGACAAACACAACUAAGCUGGAAACACCCCAAACAGUUUUACUCUGCAAGUCUUAAUUGAACACACUGGAUGAGUGAACUCACAGAGUCUGGCUUGUUAUUACACCAGGAGAAGUAAUUUGGGACAAUUUAUCAAGAUAAAACGGAUCUUCAUGUUUCUGGUGUCUUCAUUGAACAUCCAUCUUCACAUCAUGCUGCAGCAGUUCAUUUGGUCUAAGGGCAGGACUGUCUGCAGGACACUGCCCCAGUUUCAUGGUUUCCUUCAUGUCCUCCACUUACACCAUUGUUUUUAUUCAA